rnacentral:rRNA from 1 species
CCUACGGGUGGCUGCAGUGGGGAAUAUUGGACAAUGGGGGCAACCCUGAUCCAGCCAUGCCGCGUGUGUGAAGAAGGCCCUCGGGUUGUAAAGCACUUUCAGUGAGGAAGAACGCCUGGUGGUUAAUACCCAUCAGGAAAGACAUCACUCACAGAAGAAGCACCGGCUAACUCCGUGCCAGCAGCCGCGGUAAUACGGAGGGUGCGAGCGUUAAUCGGAAUUACUGGGCGUAAAGCGCGCGUAGGUGGCUUGAUAAGCCGGUUGUGAAAGCCCCGGACUCAACCUGGGAACGGCAUCCGGAACUGUCAAGCUAGAGUGCAGGAGAGGAAGGUAGAAUUCCCGGUGUAGCGGUGAAAUGCGUAGAGAUCGGGAGGAAUACCAGUGGCGAAGGCGGCCUUCUGGACUGACACUGACACUGAGGUGCGAAAGCGUGGGUAGCAAACAGGAUUAGAUACCCGAGUAGUC